rnacentral:rRNA from 1 species
AUUGAACGCUGGCGGCAGGCCUAACACAUGCAAGUCGAGCGGUAGCACAGAGAGCUUGCUCUCGGGUGACGAGCGGCGGACGGGUGAGUAAUGUCUGGGAAACUGCCUGAUGGAGGGGGAUAACUACUGGAAACGGUAGCUAAUACCGCAUAACGUCGCAAGACCAAAGUGGGGGACCUUCGGGCCUCAUGCCAUCAGAUGUGCCCAGAUGGGAUUAGCUAGUAGGUGGGGUAAUGGCUCACCUAGGCGACGAUCCCUAGCUGGUCUGAGAGGAUGACCAGCCACACUGGAACUGAGACACGGUCCAGACUCCUACGGGAGGCAGCAGUGGGGAAUAUUGCACAAUGGGCGCAAGCCUGAUGCAGCCAUGCCGCGUGUGUGAAGAAGGCCUUCGGGUUGUAAAGCACUUUCAGCGGGGAGGAAGGCGUUAAGGUUAAUAACCUUGGCGAUUGACGUUACCCGCAGAAGAAGCACCGGCUAACUCCGUGCCAGCAGCCGCGGUAAUACGGAGGGUGCAAGCGUUAAUCGGAAUUACUGGGCGUAAAGCGCACGCAGGCGGUCUGUCAAGUCGGAUGUGAAAUCCCCGGGCUCAACCUGGGAACUGCAUUCGAAACUGGCAGGCUAGAGUCUUGUAGAGGGGGGUAAAAUUCCAGGUGUAGCGGUGAAAUGCGUAGAGAUCUGGAGGAAUACCGGUGGCGAAGGCGGCCCCCUGGACAAAGACUGACGCUCAGGUGCGAAAGCGUGGGGAGCAAACAGGAUUAGAUACCCUGGUAGUCCACGCCGUAAACGAUGUCGAUUUGGAGGUUGUGCCCUUGAGGCGUGGCUUCCGGAGCUAACGCGUUAAAUCGACCGCCUGGGGAGUACGGCCGCAAGGUUAAAACUCAAAUGAAUUGACGGGGGCCCGCACAAGCGGUGGAGCAUGUGGUUUAAUUCGAUGCAACGCGAAGAACCUUACCUGGUCUUGACAUCCACAGAACUUUCCAGAGAUGGAUUGGUGCCUUCGGGAACUAUGAGACAGGUGCUGCAUGGCUGUCGUCAGCUCGUGUUGUGAAAUGUUGGGUUAAGUCCCGCAACGAGCGCAACCCUUAUCCUUUGUUGCCAGCGGUUAGGCCGGGAACUCAAAGGAGACUGCCAGUGAUAAACUGGAGGAAGGUGGGGAUGACGUCAAGUCAUCAUGGCCCUUACGACCAGGGCUACACACGUGCUACAAUGGCAUAUACAAAGAGAAGCGACCUCGCGAGAGCAAGCGGACCUCAUAAAGUAUGUCGUAGUCCGGAUUGGAGUCUGCAACUCGACUCCAUGAAGUCGGAAUCGCUAGUAAUCGUAGAUCAGAAUGCUACGGUGAAUACGUUCCCGGGCCU